GGUGGUGUAGCUCAGAGGCAGAGAGUUUGUCUGGUGAGCUCAAGACCCUGGGUUCCAUCCCCAGCACUGCAA
rnacentral:tRNA from 1 species